GCAAGUAUAACUACACCUUGGUGCAGAUGUGAUGACUGAACAGCCCACUUAAGCACAAUGAUAGAAUUGGAGGGCAAGAGGUGGCAGCAUGUGAGUUCAAAGAUUUUCAGCAAACAGUAGACAUCUUGCAGCUCGAAGUCUGCAUGUCAAACAUACACGUGGUCAAAUGGACAUAUCUGCACUAUAGAUAGAGGAUUAUGUAGUGAUCCAUGGAUG
rnacentral:lncRNA from 1 species